rnacentral:ncRNA from 2 species
AACUUAUACAGAGAGAUGGAGGGAAUUGGCCCUGUGAAAUCUCAGCAACCGGCGUUUGCACGGUGCUAAAUCCAACAGGUGAUUCCUGAAAUAUGAGUG